rnacentral:rRNA from 1 species
CAUGGGGGAACCCUGAUGCAGCGACGCCGCGUGGAGGAAGAAGGUCUUCCCNAUUGUAAACUCCUGUUGUUGAGGAAGAUAAUGACGGUACUCAACAAGGAAGUGACGGCUAACUACGUGCCAGCAGCCGCGGUAAAACGUAGGUCACAAGCGUUGUCCGGAAUUACUGGGUGUAAAGGGAGCGCAGGCGGGAGAACAAGUUGGAAGUGAAAUCUAUGGGCUCAACCCAUAAACUGCUUUCAAAACUGUUUUUCUUGAGUAGUGCAGAGGUAGGCGGAAUUCCCGGUGUAGCGGUGAAAUGCUUAGAUAUCACGAAGAACUCCGAUUGCGAAGGCAGCUCACUAGACUGUUACUGACACUGAUGCUCGAAAGUGUGGGUAUCAAACAGGAUUAGAUACCCUGGUAGUCCAAGGGCGAAUUC